CUCCCGGGCCCGUGGGGCCGGCGGGCGUGAACCCCGUCAGGACCGUGAAGGUAGCAGCGGUAAGCGCGCAAAGGUCGCCGCGGUCCGCCCGGGAGGUU
rnacentral:SRP_RNA from 1 species